AUUAAACAUUCAAAAAAGUGACUGUGAGUAAAAUUUGGAGACCCAACAGCCAACCAAUCAGCAGACAGCUUCCUGGUGAAUACAGGUCAGUUUGAUAUCUCUCUCUCUUACUUUGAGCAGAAACUGAUCAGUUCGAAGCCAACCUUUGCAGAGUUUGGAGGCUGUCGGCAGAUAGUGCUUGUGAUUCUGUGAUAAAACGUAAAACGUUGGACACUGUCUUCCCGUCCCCUGUGACUAACCAACGAGACGAGGCUUCCAGGCCACACAGUCAUGAUAGAUUCCAAAUAUCUGCGCUAACUAUUCAGAAAGACAGCACCCACAUGAGAAGCCAACAGCGAGUGGUCUGCUGCUCCGAUUUCCGUCUCUCACACUCAGGCUUAAAGUGACGCAGUGGGGCUGUAGAGAUAGGCAAAUAGCUUGAUAGGGAACUAGGUGGAUAGGUUAGAGUCAGAGUAGAAUUUUGUAGGUGUUGCCAUGGCCAUGGCGGGAGGUAGUUGAGGUGGCAGUGUAGGUUUGGUUGUUGUUGUUUUUUUUAGGGGGGUGAGAGGUAGGACGGGAAGGGUGGCUGGGGUAGAAUGGUGUGGGUAGAGCUUCCUGCUGAUCUUGAGUUUGAGUGUGAGGUUGUUGGAGUGGCAUGUAUACUGGAUUGCUCCUUGAGGUUUGCUGGUACAGCACUGUAUCGACACGGAUUUUCAUCCCCAGGACCACUCGCUGAUGCGGAAGACAAUCUAAAAGAGGUAUUUGUCGGUGAAGUAAUAUGUCUUGGAAGAUUAUUUGUUUAUUAGUUCAAUAAAAUUAGAAAAAUACCUACAAGACUGAGUUCAAUGUAAGUUUUGUUUUUUAAUUCACAUAAAACCGGAACAUGGUAAAAUGUAUUUAGCGACAGAUUUUUAUAAAUGACCUUCUGUCCUUUAAACCAAAUGUAAACAAUUUUAUAACAACUCUUUAUAUGAUGAAACAAUAAAAUUAUCAUGAUUAAUGAAAGAGCAUAUUCCAAAUUGACACAGUCUUCAUCACAAGGACCCCUCUGCCAGUUCGGAGGACGACUUGACGACGACGCAAAUGAUACCACGGCCGGACCAUCAACAGGAGGACCCCUCUGCUGGAGCGGAGGAUGACCUGGACAACGACGCCAAGGAUACCACGGCCGGACCAUCAACAGGAGAGCCCCUCCGCUGGAGCGGAGGAUGGCCCGGACAACCAAAAGGAUACCAAGACGGACCAUCGACAGGAGGACCCCUCUGCUGGAGUGGAGGAUGACCUGGGCAACGACGCCAAGGAUACCACGGCCGGACCAUCAACAGGAGGACCCCUCUGCUGGAGCGGAGGAUGACCUGGAGGACGACGCCAAGGAUACCACAGCCGGACCAUCAACAGGAGGACCCCUCUGCUGGAGCGGAGGAUGACCUGGACAACGACGCCAAGGAUACCACGGCCGGACCAUCAACAGGAGGACCCCUCUGCUGGAGCGGAGGAUGACCCGGACGAUGACACUAAAGAUACCACGGCUGGACCUUCAACAGGAGAAAGACGGCACCCACAUGAGAAGCCAACAGCGGGUGGUCUGCUGCUCCGAUUUCCGUCUCUCACACUCAGGCUUAAAGUGACGCAGUGGGGCUGUAGAGAUAGGCAAAUAGCUUGAUAGGGAGCUAGGUGGAUAGG
rnacentral:misc_RNA from 1 species